rnacentral:lncRNA from 1 species
AGUCACCCUCGCGGUUCCCCGGUGCCGUCACCGGCUCUGUGCGGCGGCUUUGCGCAGCGCAAGAGAAGAGCGCGGUCCCGGUCCCACCGCGGGGAGCGGGGAGGUGACCCCCAGCAUCCCCGGGGCAAGAGCGGCUGUCCUGGACGGGCACGGACACAGCUCGGCGGCCUCUCGCUGGGAGCGAACGGGGCUGAAAGUGGCUUCUUCUGGAUGGCUGAGAUGUAUUACAGGCAGAAAGGCCGGCAAGCGAAAAUCCGAUUCUCUCUCUUUCCAGCUCUAUGGGAUGAAUCGCUCCUCUCGGUAGGGCUCCAGCACAACCAGAAACAGUCUAUGACUGUGAGCAUUACAGGUGUUAGCGCUCUUGGACUCACCGUGUGCUAAUGUCAUGCUUGAGUUUCUUCAGAUAACAUGUCUUUGUUAUUUUUAUUGAAAAUACAAUUGAUUUAGUUCAUCUAAAACUUAAUUUCUUUUUUAAAACUAUUGCCAGAGAUCAAACCCAUUCUUGACUCAGCAGCCUGAGUUCUGGCAUUGAAAGGGCUGAAGAGCUGACACUCUCCAGGGGCCUUCUAGCUGCUCCUCCAGGCAUGUUGGGAAGGACACGAAUCACUAUACCUUGCUGGAUCUGCAGUGGCAGGAAGGAAGAUAAAGUGCUAGAGUUACUAAAUACAGAGGGAAAAGAAAAACAAUCAAUCUAAUUCUGAAACCUUUUAGGUAAUUUUAUAAAAUUGUCACAAGAAAACUGAAACUUCACUUUAGUUCUCACUUAAGAAAUUGGCGCUACUUUUCCACAUUUAAACAGAGUUAUAUUUAAUAUUGGAGGAAGAAUUUAGCUUUUGUCACCACUGAAUUCUAAACAGUGUGACUAAAGCUCUGAUGCUGAGGCAAUGUGUUGCUUGCACAAACUCUGCUUUCCUAAGCAAUGCCUCCUACAAUUUCUCUAAACGAAGAAGCAGAUUGCACAAGUAUUUCUGCACAUGCCUGUUGAAGCUGCUAGUCAUGGGGAUAUUUUGUAAUGUAGUUAAUGGGGAUUUUUUAUGCCAAAAGCAAUGAUCCAGUUUGCUUGUUUACCUUAUAUUCAUUGCUUCAGCAAUGUAGAAGUGUAUUCAUUUGCCUCUAAUGUGGUAUCUGCAUGUAUGUGUGUGUUUACAUGUGUGUUGCCAGUACACACAAGCUAUUUAAAUAAACACACAGGUAGGUAUCUGUCUUAAUAACA